rnacentral:rRNA from 1 species
GAUGAACGCUGGCGGCGUGCCUAAUACAUGCAAGUCGAGCGAACGGACGAUAAGCUUGCUUCUCUGAUGUUAGCGGCGGACGGGUGAGUAACACGUGUAUAACCUACCUAUAUUUCUGGGAUAACUUCGGGAAACCGGAGCUAAUACCGGAUAAUAUUUUGAACCGCAUGGUUCAAAAGUUCAUGACGGUCUUGCUGUCUCUUAUAGAUGGAUCCGCGCUGCAUUAGCUAGUUGGUAAGGUAACGGCUUACCAAGGCAACGAUGCAUAGCCGACCUGAGAGGGUGAUCGGCCACACUGGAACUGAGACACGGUCCAGACUCCUACGGGAGGCAGCAGUAGGGAAUAUUCGGCAAUGGGCGAAAGCCUGACGGAGCAACGCCGCGUGAGUGAUGAAGGUCUUCGGAUCGUAAAACUCUGUUAUUAGGGAAGAAAAGAUGUGGAAGUAACUGUGCACAUCUUGACGGUACCUAAUCAGAAAGCAACGGCUAACUACGUG